ACAAGCAGUGAUAUGAGAGGACGCACAGAGAGGGAGGAGCAACACUGACAAAGAGCAGAGCAGAAAAGACCUCCUGCUGUGCUGCAUUCAAUAUCUACAGCAGACCUCAGAUAGUGUCUGUAAGAUGUUCCCUCUGCGUCACGCUGGAGUCUGGCCUUUGUUUCUCUUCAUCCUGAAAGGUGUCAGCUGUGAUGAACUGACUCCAGACCAGACUGCAGAGUUCAGUGUAGAAGGCAGCUCUGUUACUCUGUCCUACAAUUUCUCCAGGACAAUAACUGGUAAUGAUUAUUUCUUCUGGUAUCGACAGAAUCCAGGACAAGCUCCAGAGUUCCUCCUGUACAUCUCAGGGUUCAAUGUGACAAGAAGUUGACGUUGGUAAUAGUGAUGCAACGAUUUCCACUCAUCAUCAGGUUUAUAAAACAUGAUCAUCUCAUGUUUCCAAACCUUGAAGAGGGGAUCCAUCUUUUCACCACCUCAGUUACCUUUGUUGAAGUUCAGGUUGAACAAGAUCCCUCAAAUACAAAUCCCAGCUGCAGCUUGAACAAACUGUUGCUCCCAGUGUGGAGGAAGAGAAAGUCCAGAUCUAAGAGGAGACGCAGAGAU